rnacentral:rRNA from 1 species
GUGGGGAAUAUUGCACAAUGGGCGAAAGCCUGAUGCAGCAACGCCGCGUGAGGGACGACGGCCUUCGGGUUGUAAACCUCUUUUAGUAGGGAAGAAGCGAAAGUGACGGUACCUGCAGAAAAAGCACCGGCUAACUACGUGCCAGCAGCCGCGGUAAUACGUAGGGUGCAAGCGUUAUCCGGAAUUAUUGGGCGUAAAGAGCUCGUAGGCGGUCUGUCGCGUCUGCUGUGAAAACUGGAGGCUCAACCUCCAGCCUGCAGUGGGUACGGGCAGACUAGAGUGCGGUAGGGGAGAGUGGAAUUCCUGGUGUAGCGGUGGAAUGCGCAGAUAUCAGGAGGAACACCGAUGGCGAAGGCAGAUCUCUGGGCCGUAACUGACGCUGAGGAGCGAAAGCGUGGGGAGCGAACAGGAUUAGAUACCCUAGUAGUCC